UAUCAAAAUGUUUUUAACAAUUCUCAUGAGGAUGAUGCUGACACUACACUCAAAGAAGUGAGUGAUGAUGAAGAGACUAAAUCAAAGGAAGAAGAAGAAUCCAAGAAGUCAAGUGAUAAAAGUACUUCGAAAAAGAGUGCUACAGAUCGUUUGGAUUCAAAACUCAAGAAGACAUCGGCAUCUGAAAAGAAGGCUACCCCUGCAAAAUCUAGCAGAAAAUCUUCCGGAUCAACUUCAAAACAAGGCACUAGUGGUGAUGAUAGGACUCCGGGCUCUAAAUUAAAGGGUUCUGCAUCAAAAAAACAGGAGGUUGAAAAGGAAAGCUCUAACGAUGAUGGUUUUCCACGAAAAACAAGGUUACCAGGAAGAAGCAAACUACCAAAUCACCACAAAGGUUUCCACCAAGGCUCAAGGUAAAGGCAAAAGCAACAGAAGCUAAAGUAGAGCCUAGCAGGGAAGAGAUUCAUGAUGUAGUGGUAGAUAUUCUAAAAAAAAGUGGACUUUGACACCGCAACGUUAUCGGAUAUUCUUCGACAACUGGCUACGCACUUUGAUCUGGAUUUGAUGCAUAGAAAGGCUGAGGUGAAGGAUAUUAUCACCGAAGCAAUAAAUAACAUGUUUGACGACGAUGAUGAAGAAGGGGAGGAAAGUAAAGAGAAUGCUGAUACAGGCAGCGAUGCUGAUAAAGACGGGAAUGGGGACAAUGAUGCUUAGUUCCCUCGGGGAUUUAUAUACCACCAUGUCGAACGUGUAAGAUAUCUGCGGUCAUGGUAAUUUGUAACCUUGAGGAUUUCUCUUCCAAUCGUACAGUUAUAAAAUCGUAGUUUUAGGUGACUGAUAGGUGGGCGUGCAGCGUAGGAGUUAUCAACUCUUUGGUACUAACUUAUUGCUGAUCUGGCAUCAACUUACAUAUUUUGUAGGUUUUUUGUUGUUGUGUAUCUUCUUCGUUGAAAAUUGAAAAUGUUGAAGUUGUGUAUUUGAUUUGUGUAGUCGUACUUUGAGUAGUGAAUGGUUUAGUAAAUAUGUGAA